AUUGAACGCUGGCGGCAGGCCUAACACAUGCAAGUCGAACGAGUGGCGGACGGGUGAGUAAUGUCUGGGAAACUGCCUGAUGGAGGGGGAUAACUACUGGAAACGGUAGCUAAUACCGCAUACCAUCGGAUGUGCCCAGCUGGGAUUAGCUAGUAGGUGGGGUAAAGGCUCACCUAGGCGACGCUCCCUAGCUGGUCUGAGAGGAUGACCUGCCACAUGGGAACUGAGACGCGGACCAGACUCCUACGGGAGGCGGCAGGGGGGAAUAUUGGACAAUGGGAGCGAGCCUGAUGUAGCCAUGCCGCGUGUAGGAAGAAAGCCUGCGUGUUGUAAAGUACUUUCAGCGGGGAAGCGUUACCCGAAGAAGAAGCACCGGCUAACUCCGUGCCAGCAGCCGCGGUAAUUC
rnacentral:rRNA from 1 species